rnacentral:rRNA from 1 species
AUUGAACGCUGGCGGCAGGCUUAACACAUGCAAGUCGAGCGGAGAGAAGUAGCUUGCUACUGAUCUUAGCGGCGGACGGGUGAGUAAUGCUUAGGAAUCUGCCUAUUAGUGGGGGACAACAUUUCGAAAGGAAUGCUAAUACCGCAUACGUCCUACGGGAGAAAGCAGGGGAUCUUCGGACCUUGCGCUAAUAGAUGAGCCUAAGUCGGAUUAGCUAGUUGGUGGGGUAAAGGCCUACCAAGGCGACGAUCUGUAGCGGGUCUGAGAGGAUGAUCCGCCACACUGGGACUGAGACACGGCCCAGACUCCUAUGGGAGGCAGCAGUGGGGAAUAUUGGACAAUGGGCGGAAGCCUGAUCCAGCCAUGCCGCGUGUGUGAAGAAGGCCUUAUGGUUGUAAAGCACUUUAAGCGAGGAGGAGGCUACUUUAGUUAAUACCUAGAGAUAGUGGACGUUACUCGCAGAAUAAGCGCCGGCUAACUCUGUGCCAGCAGCCGCAGUAACAC